rnacentral:piRNA from 1 species
UCCCUAGGAUGCUUGGAGGAU